rnacentral:rRNA from 1 species
UGGAGCAUGUGGUUUAAUUCGAAGCAAUGCGAAGAACCUUACCAGGUCUUGACAUCCUUUUGAAUGGUCUAGAGAUAGAUCAGGCCUUCGGGACAGAAGAGACAGGUGGUGCAUGGUUGUCGUCAGCUCGUGUCGUGAGAUGUUGGGUUAAGUCCCGCAACGAGCGCAACCCUUAUCAUUAGUUGCUAACAUUCAGUUGAGAACUCUAAUGAGACUGCCAGUGAUAAACUGGAGGAAGGUGGGAUGACGUCAAAUCAUCAUGCCCCUUAUGACCUGGGCUACACACGUGCUACAAUGGCCGGUACAAAGAGUUGCGAAACUGUGAAGUUAAGCUAAUCUCAUAAAGCCGGUCUCAGUUCGGAUUGUAGUCUGCAACUCGACUACAUGAAGUCGGAAUCGCUAGUAAUCGCGAAUCAGAAUGUCGCGGUGAAUACGUUCUCGAGUCUU